UUAAGUAAGAAAAAGCUCUCUCUCUCUCUCUCUCUCUCUCUCUUCUGCUCUGUUCGUGUUCGGUAUUGGUAUUGCACAAGUUUCGAAAUUGGAAGAGAAGUUCCGGAACUGG